UACAGAGGGUGCGAGCGUUGUCCGGAAUUAUUGGGCGUAAAGGGCGUGUAGGCGGUCCGUUAAGUCUGAUGUGAAAGCCCGGGGCUCACCCCCGGAAGGGCAUUGGAAACUGGCGGACUCGAGUCCCGGAGAGGAGAGUGGAAUUCCUGGUGUAGCGGUGAAAUGCGUAGAUAUCAGGAGGAACACCGGUGGCGAAGGCGGCUCUCUGGACGGUGACUGACGCUAAGACGCGAAAGCGUGGGGAGCAAACAGG
rnacentral:rRNA from 1 species